rnacentral:rRNA from 1 species
UACGUAGGGUGCGAGCGUUGUCCGGAAUUAUUGGGCGUAAAGAGCGUGUAGGCGGCCAGGUAGGUCGGUUGUGAAAACUGGAGGCUCAACCUUCAGAGGUCGACCGAAACCAUCUGGCUAGAGUCCGGGAGAGGAGAGUGGAAUUCCUGGUGUAGUGGUGAAAUGCGCAGAUAUCAGGAAGAACACCCGUGGCGAAAGCGGCUCUCUGGAACGGUACUGACGCUGAGACGCGAAAGCGUGGGGAGCGAACAGG